GUGGGGAAUUUUGGACAAUGGGCGCAAGCCUGAUCCAGCAAUGCCGCGUGCAGGAAGAAGGCCUUCGGGUUGUAAACUGCUUUUGUACGGAACGAAACGGUCCUGGUUAAUACCUGGGGCUAAUGACGGUACCGUAAGAAUAAGCACCGGCUAACUACGUGCCAGCAGCCGCGGUAAUUCGUAGGGUGCAAGCGUUAAUCGGAAUUACUGGGCGUAAAGCGUGCGCAGGCGGUUUUGUAAGACAGGCGUGAAAUCCCCGGGCUCAACCUGGGAAUUGCGCUUGUGACUGCAAGGCUGGAGUGCGGCAGAGGGGGAUGGAAUUCCGCGUGUAGCAGUGAAAUGCGUAGAUAUGCGGAGGAACACCGAUGGCGAAGGCAAUCCCCUGGGCCUGCACUGACGCUCAUGCACGAAAGCGUGGGGAGCAAACAGGAUUAGAUACCCGUGUAGUCC
rnacentral:rRNA from 1 species